UACGUAGGGUGUGAGCGUUAAUCGGAAUUACUGGGCGUAAAGCGUGCGCAGGCGGUUUUGUAAGCCAGAUGUGAAAUCCCCGGGCUUAACCUGGGAAUGGCAUUUGGGACUGCAAGGCUGGAGUGCGGCAGAGGAGACUGGAAUUCCUGGUGUAGCAGUGAAAUGCGUAGAUAUCAGGAGGAAUACCGAUGGCGAAGGCAGGUCUCUGGGACGGUACUGACGCUGAGACGCGAAAGCGUGGGGAGCGAACAGG
rnacentral:rRNA from 1 species